GACGAACGCUGGCGGCGCGCCUAACACAUGCAAGUCGAACGAGCGAGAGAGAGCUUGCUUUCUCAAGCGAGUGGCGAACGGGUGAGUAACGCGUGAGGAACCUGCCUCAAAGAGGGGGACAACAGUUGGAAACGACUGCUUAUACCGCAUAAGCCCACAGGUCGGCGUCGACCAGAGGGAAAAGGAGCAAUCCGCUUUGAGAUGGCCUCGCGUCCGAUUAGCUAGUUGGUGAGGUAACGGCCCACCAAGGCAACGAUCGGUAGCCGGACGGAGAGGUUGAACGGCCACAUUGGGACUGGGACCCGGCCCAGACUCCAACGGGAGGCAGCAAUGGGGGAUAUUGCACAAUGGGGGAAACCCUGAGGCAGCGACGCCGGGUGGAGGAAGAAGGUCUUGGGAUUGGAAUCUCCUGUUGUUGAGGAAGAUAAUGACGGUACUCAACAAGGAAGUGACGGCUAACUACGUG
rnacentral:rRNA from 1 species